rnacentral:lncRNA from 1 species
CUCUUCUCCAAUCCAACCUUCUCUGCAUCCCCACCCUAACCCUAUCCCUAACCGUAACCUGAGCGAACCUCAACCCCUAACCCUAACCCCCAGCAGAACCUAACCCUAACUCUAACCCCCUACAAAACCUAACCCUAACCCUAGCCAGCCCCACGAGAACCUAACCCUAACCCUAACCCCCAACAGAAUCCUAACCCUAACUCUAACCCCCUACAAAACCUAACCCUAACCCUAACCAGCCCAUUAGCCUAACCCUAACCCUAGCUAGAUAGCUAACCCUAAUUGGAUCCUUUAUCGUAACCUUAACCCUAAUCGGAUCUGCUAACCCGUUAGCCGACUAAAUACAACCCGUUUAACGUGCCCGUUAGCUAAUUUGUAUGGAUCCGAUCGCGAUCCAUCCCUAAACCCAUUAACUCGUAUCUUCUUUUUCCUUCUUAAUCCAUCCACUUCUUCCUGCUCACCAAACCCUUACCCGAUCCAUCAAAACUCAUACAUGUAUUUCUUUCUAUUCAUCGGAAGGCUUCACAGCAAACCUCUUCUCCUUCCUCUUUCUAUUCACUAGAAGGCUGCCGAAUCUUAGCAGCAACCGCGGCAUUUUUUUUCUUCCAUAUGGACAUUGAGGAAGAUUACCAUAGCAUGAUAGCAACCCUUUGUCCCUCUCUUCCCUCAUAUGAUGUUUGUAAAUAAAGGAGUGGAAGGUGACAUUGAGGAAGACUACCAUAGUAUGGUAGCAACCCUUUGUCCCUCUAUUCCCUCACAUGAUGUUUGUAAAUAAAGGAGUAGAAGGUUGCAACAAUGUAGGUAGCAACCCCCUUGCAUUCCUAAUAAGAAAGAGAAUGUUGUUUCUGAUAUUAUGGUGAAAGAAAAUUUUAACCAAUGAGGGAAUAAAAAUUACCUUCCCUAGCUCCCUUUACUCGAUUUUUCUUGUCAUCUGCCACCCUUUUCAAUCUUUCCUUGGUAAGCCUAAGGAAAUACAAAAAAAGCAGCAAUCAAAAACAGGCCGACUAAAAAAAAAUACUCCCCACCUCAUCUUUUCUUCAGUAUAUAUAGGCUAAAGCACGGAAAGAAACCGAUAAGACAAUCCAUACUUUGCCAUCAAUAUUUUCUAUUUUUUCUCAAAAAUCUUCUCUAAGACUUCUUUUCAUCCGUCCCACUUUUUGCUCUUUUUCUUUUCUUGCGUGUGCCUCUCUCAUGACAGAGAACGGCAUGAGAGAGGAAAGUCACCACACAGAGCUCCAUCCCUUUCCUUUUUUUUUCUUUGCAUGCACCUCUCACCUCUCUCGUGACACGGAAUGGCAUAGGAGAGGAGAGCCAGAGCAGAGCCGGCUUACUCAACCAUCAGAAGCACGACCCAUCCAAUCCAAAAGGCUACAUGCUGGAUGCAUGCCAUCUGUCCACAGUACACUGAACAAAAAGAAAAAAAAACACCGAGGAAGAAGGAAAAAAUAAUAGGUUUCAAUAAAUUUUACAGAGGGGGGGAGAGAAAGCUAUCUUGUCUGCCCCAAGCCUUCCAUCCAAUUAAGAUGGAUCUAAACUUUUCUAUUCGACCACUCCGAGCCUUCCAUCCAGUUGAAACUUCUACGAAUGAAAAAAAAGUAAAGAAAAAAUUUAAAAAAAUAUAAAAAAAUCAACAAAAAUAAAAAAAAUUGAAAAACAAUUAAAAAGCAAGAUAUUUUUCUAUAUAGAUUUAAAAUUUAUUUUUUUCACAAACCAAAAGCUAUAAAAAUAAUAACAUACUUUUGAAACAUAAUAAAAAAUUUAACAAUAAAAAAAGACUGAGAUUCACAGUCUUACCUGCUAAGUGCAGUCGAUAACUUUGUUAUGUUGUAUCGAACCUCAAAUUCGUAUAUUAAACCUCAACUUCGUUAUGCCAUAUUAAACUCUCC